GACGAAGGGGGCUAGCGUUGUUCGGAAUUACUGGGCGUAAAGCGCGUGUAGGCGGGUCUUUAAGUCAGGGGUGAAAUGCCAAGGCUCAACCUUGGAACUGCCUUUGAUACUGGAGACCUUGAGUCCGGGAGAGGUGAGUGGAAUUGCGAGUGUAGAGGUGAAAUUCGUAGAUAUUCGCAAGAACACCAGUGGCGAAGGCGGCUCACUGGCCCGGUACUGACGCUGAGGUGCGAAAGCGUGGGGAGCAAACAGG
rnacentral:rRNA from 1 species